GGGCGUGUGGCUCAGUUGGUAGAGCGUUCGCUUAGCAUCUGGUCGUCCUUCCAAAGGACGGAUUCACCUUUGAUGCGAAAGGUCCUGGGUUCGAUUCCCAGCCCGUCCA